GAUGAACGCUGGCGGCGUGCCUAAUACAUGCCAGUCGAGCGAACAGACGAGGAGCUUGCUCCUCUGACGUUAGCGGCGGAGGGGUGAGUAACACGUGGAUAACCUACCUAUAAGACUGGGAUAACUUCGGGAAACCGGAGCUAAUACCGGAUAAUAUAUUGAACCGCAUGGUUCAAUAGUGAAAGACGGUUUUGCUGUCACUUAUAGAUGGAUCCGCGCCGCAUUAGCUAGUUGGUAAGGUAACGGCUUACCAAGGCAACGAUGCGUAGCCGACCUGAGAGGGUGAUCGGCCACACUGGAACUGAGACACGGUCCAGACUCCUGCGGGAGGCAGCAGUAGGAAAUCGUCCGCAAUGGGCGAAAGCCUGACGGAGCAAGGCCGCGUGAGUGAUGAAGGUCUUCCGAUCGUAAAACUCUGUUAUUAGGGAAGAACAAAUGUGUAAGUAACUAUGCACGUCUUGACGGUACCUAAUCAGAAAGCCACGGCUAACUACGUG
rnacentral:rRNA from 1 species